rnacentral:rRNA from 1 species
GAAUGCUGACAUAAGUAACGAUAAAGCGGGUGAAAAGCCCGCUCGCCGGAAGACCAAGGGUUCCUGUCCAACGUUAAUCGGGGCAGGGUGAGUCGACCCCUAAGGCGAGGCCGAAAGGCGUAGUCGAUGGGAAACAGGUUAAUAUUCCUGUACUUGGUGUUACUGCGAAGGGGGGACGGAGAAGGCUAUGUUGGCCGGGCGACGGUUGUCCCGGUUUAAGCGUGUAGGCUGGUUUUCCAGGCAAAUCCGGAAAAUCAAGGCUGAGGCGUGAUGACGAGGCACUACGGUGCUGAAGCGACAAAUGCCCUGCUUCCAGGAAAAGCCUCUAAGCAUCAGGUAACAUCAAAUCGUACCCCAAACCGACACAGGUGGUCAGGUAGAGAAUACCAAGGCGCUUGAGAGAACUCGGGUGAAGGAACUAGGCAAAAUGGUGCCGUAACUUCGGGAGAAGGCACGCUGAUAUGUAGGUGAAGCGACUUGCUCGUGGAGCUGAAAUCAGUCGAAGAUACCAGCUGGCUGCAACUGUUUAUUAAAAACACAGCACUGUGCAAACACGAAAGUGGACGUAUACGGUGUGACGCCUGCCCGGUGCCGGAAGGUUAAUUGAUGGGGUUAGCGGUAACGCGAAGCUCUUGAUCGAAGCCCCGGUAAACGGCGGCCGUAACUAUAACGGUCCUAAGGUAGCGAAAUUCCUUGUCGGGUAAGUUCCGACCUGCACGAAUGGCGUAAUGAUGGCCAGGCUGUCUCCACCCGAGACUCAGUGAAAUUGAACUCGCUGUGAAGAUGCAGUGUACCCGCGGCAAGACGGAAAGACCCCGUGAACCUUUACUAUAGCUUGACACUGAACAUUGAGCCUUGAUGUGUAGGAUAGGUGGGAGGCUUUGAAGUGUGGACGCCAGUCUGCAUGGAGCCGACCUUGAAAUACCACCCUUUAAUGUUUGAUGUUCUAACGUGGGCCCCUUACCGGGGUUGCGGACAGUGUCUGGUGGGUAGUUUGACUGGGGCGGUCUCCUCCUAAAGAGUAACGGAGGAGCACGAAGGUUGGCUAAUCCUGGUCGGACAUCAGGAGGUUAGUGCAAUGGCAUAAGCCAGCUUGACUGCGAGCGUGACGGCGCGAGCAGGUGCGAAAGCAGGUCAUAGUGAUCCGGUGGUUCUGAAUGGAAGGGCCAUCGCUCAACGGAUAAAAGGUACUCCGGGGAUAACAGGCUGAUACCGCCCAAGAGUUCAUAUCGACGGCGGUGUUUGGCACCUCGAUGUCGGCUCAUCACAUCCUGGGGCUGAAGUAGGUCCCAAGGGUAUGGCUGUUCGCCAUUUAAAGUGGUACGCGAGCUGGGUUUAGAACGUCGUGAGACAGUUCGGUCCCUAUCUGCCGUGGGCGCUGGAGAACUGAGGGGGGCUGCUCCUAGUACGAGAGGACCGGAGUGGACGCAUCACUGGUGUUCGGGUUGUCAUGCCAAUGGCACUGCCCGGUAGCUAAAUGCGGAAGAGAUAAGUGCUGAAAGCAUCUAAGCACGAAACUUGCCCCGAGAUGAGUUCUCCCUGACUCCUUGAGAGUCCUGAAGGAACGUUGAAGACGACGACGUUGAUAGGCCGGGUGUG